rnacentral:rRNA from 1 species
GUCUACGGCCACACCAUCCUGAACGCGCCCCAUCUGGUCUGAUCCCGGAAGCUAAGCAGGGUCGGGCAUGGUUAGUACCUGGAUGGGAGAAAGAUGUUGACUUGUGUUUAUGGACU